rnacentral:lncRNA from 1 species
AGAGGUGUGCAAAACUUGAGUUAAAAUCAAGAAUUCAUUUAUUAGUUAUUGAGGUUUAAAUCUGUUGUAGGAAUUAUUUGGAUUAUUUAGGAUUUGGUUAGGAUAUGUUUAGAGUUUGAUUAGGAUUCUCUUAAGGUUUGUUUAGAUUUGUUUAGGUUUUGAUUAAGAUUUGUUAGGAUUGAUUAGGAUUUGGUUAGAAUUUAACUAGGAUUAGAUUAGGAUUUGGUUAGGAUUUUAUUUAGAUUUGGUUAGGAUUUGGUUAGAAUUUGAUUAAAUUUUAUUUAAGAUUUGAUUAGGAUUUGGUUAGGAUUUGAUUAGGAAGUAGUUAGGAUUUGGCUAGGAUUUAGUUAGGAUUUGAUUAAAAUUUGACUAGGAUUUAUUUAGGAUUUGGUUAGGAUUUGACUGGAAUUUAAUUAAGAUUUCUAUUUUAGUAUAUUUUUGAAUUCCUAUAUUAUUUCUUUAUGAUUUCUUUAAAGUG